rnacentral:rRNA from 1 species
UGAGGAAUAUUGGGCAAUGCCCGCAAGGGUGACCCAGCAACGCCGCGUGGAGGAUGAAUGUCGUAAGAUUGUAAACUCCUGUUAGAGGGGAAGAAUAGUACCGGUUGGACCGGUAUAUGACUGUACCCUCAGAGAAAGCCCCGGCUAACUACGUGCCAGCAGCCGCGGUAAUACGUAGGGGGCAAGCGUUGUCCGGAUUUACUGGGUGUAAAGGGCGCGCAGGCGGGAUAAAAAGUCAGGGGUGAAAUCCUACAGCUUAACUGUAGAACUGCCUUUGAUACUUUUAUUCUUGAGUUCGGGAGAGAGAGACGGAAUUCCAGGUGUAGUGGUGAAAUACGUAGAUAUCUGGAAGAACACCAGUUGCGAAGGCGGUCUCCUGGUCCGACACUGACGCUGAGGCGCGAAAGCGUGGGGAGCCAACA